CCUACGGGUGGCAGCAGUGAGGAAUCUUGGUCAAUGGGCGAGAGCCUGAACCAGCCAAGUCGCGUGAGGGAGUACUGCCCUAUGGGUUGUAAACCUCUUUUGUCGGGGAGCAAAAGCCGGACGUGUCCGGCUGUGAGAGUACCCGAAGAAAAAGCAUCGGCUAACUCCGUGCCAGCAGCCGCGGUAAUACGUAGGGAGCAAGCGUUGUCCGGAAUUACUGGGCGUAAAGGGCGCGUAGGUGGGCGCUUAAGUCAGGUGUGAAAACUCCGGGCUCAACCUGGAGACUGCACUUGAAACUGGGUGUCUUGAGGGCAGGAGAGGAAAGUGGAAUUCCUAGUGUAGCGGUGAAAUGCGUAGAUAUUAGGAGGAACACCAGUGGCGAAGGCGACUUUCUGGACUGUACCUGACGCUGAGGCGCGAAAGCGUGGGUAGCGAACGGGAUUAGAUACCCCAGUAGUC
rnacentral:rRNA from 1 species